UACGUAGGGUCCGAGCGUUGUCCGGAAUUACUGGGCGUAAAGAGCUCGUAGGUGGUUUGUCGCGUUGUUCGUGAAAACUCACAGCUCAACUGUGGGCGUGCGGGCGAUACGGGCAGACUGGAGUACUGCAGGGGAGACUGGAAUUCCUGGUGUAGCGGUGGAAUGCGCAGAUAUCAGGAGGAACACCGGUGGCGAAGGCGGGUCUCUGGGCAGUAACUGACGCUGAGGAGCGAAAGCGUGGGGAGCGAACAG
rnacentral:rRNA from 1 species